UACAGAGGUCCCGAGCGUUGUUCGGAUUCACUGGGCGUAAAGGGUGCGUAGGUGGCUUUGCAAGUCUGAUGUGAAAUCUCCGGGCUUAACCCGGAAAUGGCAUUAGAAACUGUGAGGCUUGAGGCUUGGAGGGGGAACUGGAAUUCUCGGUGUAGCAGUGAAAUGCGUAGAGAUCGAGAGGAACACCAGUGGCGAAGGCGAGUUCCUGGACAAGUCCUGACACUGAGGCACGAAAGCCGGGGGAGCGAACGGG
rnacentral:rRNA from 1 species